rnacentral:tRNA from 1 species
GGAGAGUUGACAGAGUGGCAAUGUGUCAGCCUGCUAAGCUUGGGCUAUCGUUAAUUCGGUACAAAGGUUCGACUCCUUUACUCUCCG